UUUCAGCGGGGAGGAAGGCGGUGAGGUUAAUAACCUUGGCGAUUGACGUUACCCGCAGAAGAAGCACCGGCUAACUCCGUGCCAGCAGCCGCGGUAAUACGGAGGGUGCAAGCGUUAAUCGGAAUUACUGGGCGUAAAGCGCACGCAGGCGGUCUGUCAAGUCGGAUGUGAAAUCCCCGGGCUCAACCUGGGAACUGCAUUCGAAACUGGCAGGCUAGAGUCUUGUAGAGGGGGGUAGAAUUCCAGGUGUAGCGGUGAAAUGCGUAGAGAUCUGGAGGAAUACCGGUGGCGAAGGCGGCCCCCUGGACA
rnacentral:rRNA from 1 species